AAUCUGAUUCUAAAAGGUCACUGCUCUGUGGAGCAGUUCUACUCUGCACACAUGGGGUUGCCAUGAGUCAGAAUUGACUUGACAGCAACUGACAACAAAAACAAGUGUGGAAACAGCCAUGGACAACAUGUAAACAAAUGGACGCGGGUGCGUCCCAGUAAAGCUUAAUUUACAAAAACACGUGGCGGGCCAUAUUUGGCUCGCGGGUUGCACCCCUUAACUAGAUGAUCUGAGGAGUGUGAAUCCAAAGAGUUGUGCUAAACCACAGCAGCUGACUGUAAAUAUUCUUGAACUUUCUAGGCAAAGCUCUUGCCUUCAUUUCUUUCCAGUGUUGAAGAUAAGCAGUAUUUUCCUGGCAGAGACAGUGUGCUUAUAGGGAAAUCUGUGGCCUCAGAGUUUGUGUUUGGUUAUAAUAUUUCUCUACAAAGUAUGAGUGGGGAGAGCCCUCCCACAUAUUUUCCCCUCUAGCUCCUGCUUCCUAGUAACUGUGCACCUUCUCUAGAGUCUGUGGGUGGUGCAAACGGUUAGUGUACUCGGCUGCUAACCAAAAGGUUGGAGGUUCGAGUCCACCCAGAGGCCUGGUGAUCUACUUGCAAAAAAAUCAGCCAUUAAAAAUCCUAUGGAGUGUAGUUCUACUCUGACACACAUGGGGCUGCCAUGAACUGGAGUUGACUCGAUGGCAACUGGUACCGGUGCAGCUUCUCUACGUAACUCUGGAACUACUUUGUGGUGAGAAAACUUGGAAUUUGGGAGACUGGACUGACCCUUUGCUUAUCACUCAAGUAGGACCUUUGUAAUAUGAUAUAUCUAUCUAGAAUAAGUGGUUUCCUAGAAAAGAUAUUAAAGAGAUAGUCUAGUUUCUUGGAUUUGGUGGUGUGGUGUGUAGGGGAAGAGUGUUUCUUUUUCUUUUGAUAUGAUGGGGUCAAAAGAACAAGACAAGUGUGCUUUGGUAGUGUAGAAUGGACCUUAUUUUAUCUUUAUUUUUGUAAGUAUGAAUAGAACAUGAUACUCCACAAAUUGUAGCAAGGGUCAAGCCUGUCUGUGCUGAUCACAUGGUUGCUGAACUCUGAUGCAUGUCAGCUUUGGGUACCAUCAAGGACCCACGUCCUGCACAUCUCUCUGUUCUUCUAUCUUUUGUGUUUCAGCAAUGGCUCCCCUCAUGGUUGCAAUAUGGCUGCCUCUGCUCCAAGCAUCAUGUCCUCUCAGGAGCUCAUCUCAGCCAAGAGAGAAAGGGGCAGGUGGCAAAAAGGUCUCCUCCACAUGUGUUUAUAUUUUUUGAGGGGAGGGAAAUUUUCUAAGAAGGGCCCUUGCAAACUUUCUCUUACAUAGCAUCACCCAGAAGUGUGUCACAGGUCCAGCCCUAAACCAAUCACAGUGAAAGGGAGUGGAGUUACUAUGAGCGGCUUAGAAAAAUCAUAGCCCAUCUCCUGGGGCUGGAACAAGUGAAGAGGGAGUAUGGCCACUGGGUAGGCAGGGUCUGCCAUAUCUCCUUUCUUGUCCCUCUUUAUUUUUCAUGGAUAGAGAACGUGUUGAUUUUGUUCACCAGUUCCUAGCACAGUGCCUGUCAUAAAAUAGGCACUCAGUAUACAUUCAAAAAUUUUUUUUUUAGUAUUUUGUAUAUUUGCUGGGGACUGAGUAAAGCAAUGAAUGAAUAAAUAAUGAAAAGAAGGUCUUUCUUUUUGCCUUUUCCCCGUUGACUCGUCUGCUUCUGUCAUUUUUCUGGGUCUGAUUUAGGUGUCAAUGGAGCUAUUCUUCCUGUUUGAAGAUGUCUCUUCCUUGAUUUGGUAACACAUUAAGAAGUAUGACCCACCAUACUGUCCUUUUUCCAGCCUUGGGGAUGGGUUGAGAGAUCCCAUGUGGUCCAGGAUAGAACAGUGUGUGUGAGGCUGAUGGAGCACUCAAGGACUGUGUGCACAGAAAACAAAAAAUCUUUUGGGUUGAUUGGACUGAAUAUGUCACUCCAAAUGGUCACUCCAGGUUGCCAGAACUGAUUUUGUCCUACCAUUGAGUAUGAAAUAAGGAGUUACAUAGUGUGGCAACAUGGCGUGCUUGCGGGACCAGGAGCCAGGUGAGGGCAAUCUUUACCACACCUCUGCACUAACACACCGGCGCUUGGGGCAAGUCACCUUGCCAUUCUGAGCUACCUAAUCUCAAAGUGAGCAUUCAAACAUUCACACAUAUCGUUUAGCUUGCUAUUGCAGAGUGAAAACUGAAAUGAUUUUGUUGUGGUAAUUAUUGUUAUGGUUCCUCACUGUGGACUGAGAGUUCUUUCAGGAGUCAGCAGUUCUUUGGUCAAGGAGUAUGAGAAAGAUUGUUCUUCUCAGUUCCUUCCAACCCUCCAAAUAAAAUUCAAAUGAAAGGUAGGAGGAGACAUUUAAAAAGCUCUCUGACUUGAUCACCUAGAAGUCUGAAUGGACCAAUGUGGAAGUUUGGGUCCUCUGAGAAGCACACACUAAGAAGGGAUUAGACGUGCAUGAGAUUUAUUGAAGGAAACACCUGUGAAGGAAAAGAGGAAGGAUGUAGAGGAGGCAAGGAGAGCCUUCAUGUAUCAAUGUAGGUCUCACACCUGUGAAAGGAGAGGAGGAAGGAAGAGUGAGGAGAAAGAGAAUCAGAGGCUCAGUUCUAGGCUGGGGGUUUUGGUCAGGCCAGUGGGGAGUCCUUGAACCAAAAGUGCCCAUCAGAGCAGUCGUGUGUCCUGCAGGAAUGGGCCUAUCCUUGUCAUGCUUAGUCAUGCCUGGUAGCAGCCCACAGGAAGUGUGGCUUUCAUGCGAAUGCAGUCCUGAAUCCAGCAGCUGUAGCGUCCAGUCAACUAUCUUUUUCACAGCAGGAGAUCAGAGUGGCCUAUUUUCAUGACCACCUCACUAACUCAUCAGAGAUUUUCUGUUUGAAACACAGAUCUUAAUGACUUGAAAAACAAGCAAGAACAUUUGUGAUUAUAUAACUUUUUGCCCCUCAAAUCAACUUCCAUUCCCCCCUUUGACUUUCACUUCCCCCGCUUUUUCAGCUAGGCCAAUCAUGUUGAAAACCCCACCCAGGUUUGUAGAGUUCCUCAUUUGAAAAUUAAAAAAAAGAAAACAACAAAACUGCUUGUGACUAAUCCAGAUGAACUUCCUUUUUUGACCUUUUCAAUGAGUUGUGAUUUACUUCCUCGGGUUCACACAUUUCCCCCUUCUUUGCUGAUCAUCCCUUUGGCUGGGAAAAGUCUUUGAGGUCAGUUGGCUCCUCUGUCUUCAAGUCUGAUCAGAAUGAACCCAGUUACUCAAAGAGUUCAGGCAAGAAGCAGAAAAUCCCAAAAGGUGUAUGAUGGAAGGCAACAAUUCUGAGGAUGAUAAGAGGGUAUCAUAGGAGGUGUCUGCAUGGUUUGCUGAACAUUUAACAUUCUUGAAACCUGUCAUCAUCACGGGCGCUGCCUGGGAGUUCACAGAGGGCCUGCACUAAGUAAGACUUGGCAUUCAAGAGUCACAAAAAUGGCUGUUAUGAAAUGUUUGAACAGUGGGUGGGUUCUUUCAACAGAAAAUAAGUUGUUUUCCCAUUGCAAAGUAAGUUGUGCUGAUGGGGAAUGUGGCAGAGACUAGAUAAAUGCUCACCAAACUCAUUUCAUCUUCUUCCUAGGCGUACAACCAGAAGAAAUUUCCCAGCCUCCUUUUCAGUUAGGUGUGGUCAUGUGACUGAGUGGUAGCUAAUAGCAAGUGGGCAGAGGCGGUGAAUGCCACUUCAGGUCUGACCCUUCCCUGCCACAAGACUCUCAUAUUCUCUCUUAUCCUUUGUCUGCCGACUGGAUGCAGAGGAUCCAGUGGAGAAAUCCAAGGCUUAGAAGAUGGUGGAGCCACUGAAUGAAGAAGCCAGGGUCCCUAAAUCACUGUGAAGGACAGAACACUCUGCUGACCCACACUGAGCUGCAAACUGAGUGAGAAGAGGCCGAGGGAUAAUUAACUCCCCCUGGAGACGCGGAGAGAGAGGUACAUUCAAGGGUUGCUUCUCAGAGGGGACAUAUGACCUGGGCUUUGAAGAAUGAAGAAUAACAAGGUAGGUAUGAACCCAAGCAGUUGUGCUGGGAGCAUUCCCGGAGAUAGGGUGGAGGGGGGAGAGACAGACAGAAGAGCAAGGAUGGGGCUGAUACCAGUUUACUAUUCCUUAUCUGUAAUUCUAAAAUCCACAAAGCUGUGAAAACCACAAUGUUGAACUAAUUUGGAGCCAAAUCUGACCUGACUUAAACUUAUUUCACACUAAAACCUGCCCUGAACUGACAUGAAGUUAUCUAUAAAACAAAACC